rnacentral:rRNA from 1 species
UACGUAGGGGGCAAGCGUUAUCCGGAUUUACUGGGUGUAAAGGGAGCGUAGACGGCAUGGCAAGCCAGAUGUGAAAUACCGGGGCUCAACCCCGGGACUGCAUUUGGAACUGUUAAGCUGGAGUGUCGGAGAGGCAGGCGGAAUUCCUAGUGUAGCGGUGAAAUGCGUAGAUAUUAGGAGGAACACCAGUGGCGAAGGCGGCCUGCUGGACGAUAAUUGACGUUGAGGCUCGAAAGCGUGGGGAGCAAACAGG